CCUACGGGAGGCAGCAGUGGGGAAUAUUGCACAAUGGGGGGGAACCCUGAUGCAGCGACGCCGCGUGGGUGAAGGAGUAUUUCGGUAUGUAAAGCCCUAUCAGCAGGGAAGAACAAUGACGGUACCUGACUAAGAAGCACCGGCUAAAUACGUGCCAGCAGCCGCGGUAAUACGUAGGGUGCAAGCGUUAUCCGGAGUUACUGGGUGUAAAGGGAGCGCAGGCGGCGCGUUAAGCCCAGUGGGAAAGCCCGCGGCCCAAACGCGGGACUGAAUUGGGAACUGGCGCGCUGGAGUGCCGGAGGGGUAGGCGGAAUGCCGGGUGUAGCGGUGAAAUGCGUAGAUAUUAGGAGGAACGCCAGUGGCGAAGGCGGCCUACUGGACGGUGACUGACGCUGAGGCUCGAAAGCGUGGGGAGCGAACAGGAUUAGAUACCCGGGUAGUC
rnacentral:rRNA from 1 species